AAAGUGUCAAAUUAUCAGCAGAUCUUAGCUAUAAUCCAGAUAUUUGCUGUGAAGUUGCAGGAAUUAGAUCAGUUAAAUAUCUAGGUAUCAAGUUAUUUACUAUUUUAAAAAACAAUACAAGUUUAUGCACAGACCGCCUUGUUUUUAGUUCCUCCCAUGCAAACUCAUCCAAUAAUUUCCUUUGACUUGUGCCUUUCAUAGCACCAGUAACCAAUUUAGCAGCUUCAUACUGAACUGAUUCUAAUAAGUCAUUAAGACCAUCAGAACAAUCAUCCCAAACAACAUCAGCAUACUCCAUUUUAGGUCGAAUUAGACAUUUAUAGAGCACUACCAAUGUAUCCCUAUUAAUUUUAAAUUUUAGUCCUUUCAAUAAAUUUAGAGUUUUUGAAGCUUUCCCAUAAAUUGUCAUAACAUGUUCUCCCCAAGACAAAUUAGA